CAGCAGUGAGGAAUAUUGGUCAAUGGGCGCAAGCCUGAACCAGCGACGCCGCGUGCGGGAUGAAGGGGCUUUGCCUCGUAAACCGCUGUCGGAUGGGACGAAAGGUGGCUUUAAGCCACUGGGACGGUACCAUCAAAGGAAGGAUCGGCUAACUACGUGCCAGCAGCCGCGGUAAUACGUAGGAUCCGAGCGUUGUCCGGAGUUACUGGGUGUAAAGGGUGCGUAGGCUGUUCUGUGCGUCAGAGGUGAAAUCCACGGGCUUAACUCGUGGGGUGCCUUUGAUACGGCAGGGCUUGAGUACGAGAGAGGUGCGUGGAAUUCCUGGUGUAGCAGUGAAAUGCGUAGAUAUCAGGAGGAACACCGGUGGCGAAGGCGGCGCACUGGCUCGUAACUGACGCUGAGGCACGAAAGCGUGGGGAUCAAACAGGAUUAGA
rnacentral:rRNA from 1 species